GGCGCGCCGUGGUUGGCGGCCGGCGCCGGCGGGCCCGGCACCCGGAAGAGCCGCCGACUCCGCGAGCGCAACAGGGGGCUGAGCGGGGCUGCGUCGUGUGGACCCGGCCCGGGAUGGACAAGCUGAAGAAGGUGCUGAGCGGCCAGGACACCGAGGACCGGGGCGGCCUGGCCGAGGUUGUUGAGGCAUCUUCAUUAAGCUGGGGUACCAGAAUAAAAGGCUUCAUUGCAUGUUUUGCUGCAGGAAUUGUCUGCUCACUGCUGGGAACUCUUCUGCUCUGGGUGCCCAGGAAGGGACUAUACCUCUUUGCAGUGUUUUAUACUUUUGGUAACAUCGCAUCAAUUGGGAGCACUGUCUUCCUCAUGGGGCCGAUGAAGCAGCUGAAGCGAAUGUUUGAGCCGACGCGUUUGAUUGCAACUAUCAUGGUGCUGCUGUGUUUUGCACUUACUCUGUGUUCUGCCUUUUGGUGGCAUAACAAGGGGCUCGCGCUCAUCUUCUGCAUUUUGCAGUCCUUGGCCCUGACGUGAAUAGAGCUCUGUGCCAUCCGGAUAUGUGGGAUCUGCUGACCCUGUGAGGCUGAGGUAUAGCCUUUCCUUCAUACCCUAUGCAAGGGAUGCUGUGAAGAAGUGUUUUGCUGUCUGUCUUGCAUAGCACAUGGUCAGUUGUGCAAGGCUUUGGAAGGCGCCGUGGACGGAAGCUGGUGGACAGUUUUGUAAAUACCUUCUAAACCUCUGUCUUACAGACACGUGCCUUUUCUCUUGCAGCAGUGUGUUGCUUGUGAUCUGAACAUUUGAGGGUAGCUUUUGGAGGCAUUGUUGUGGUCCCAAACCCAAAUGUCUGUAGCAUGGUAUGAGAGGUGGGUUCUGUUAUCUCAUGGGGUAGAUUAUUCCUCAUGCACCUGUUCCCUCUUUAGAUGAAGUCUUCCACUGAAAUUUCCUAAAUAAAAACCUUGUUAAGCAGCGGCAGGUCAGCUUGGGAGCCAGGGCUCUUCUGGGGGUGACAGGCAGCCCCAUCAGAGCUGGCAGGGAUACAGUCGUAAGGGACAGGGUUUUGGUGUCUGCAGGGACUUUGUGGACUUGCCCUCAGCAUGGAGAACCGCCCCCCCGCCCCCCCCCCGCCUCACCCAGCGUGGACGUGCUUCUGCUCUGGGGUCUGCCCCCCCGACAGCUGCACACAAGCCCGUGGAGAGCCUGCUCGUAGAGUGACCUGGGAAAGGAGCACUUUUUGGGGAUAUGUGUUGUUUUUAAAUCUGCACGUUGGCUUUGUUCUUCUGAUUCCGCACCUGACGAUGGAAUGUAUCUUCUGACAUUCUGUGCACUCUUUUUCUCUCGGGGUUUUCUUUCUUUCUCCCCCUCCACGUAGCUUUUCUCAUGGCCUCCUGGAACUGGACUGGGGACGAAGCAUGGACAGAACAGACACUGUUUGCUUUUGCACAAGAGCUGACGGGAGGGAAAAGUCUUGCUGCUUUCCACUCUUUUUUGUCUUCCCCAUUAUUUAUUAAUGUUGCUUUUAAACUGAUUCUGUUUUCCGUUCUCCCCUGGAACGGGGCCAGGGUAGAGCGGUGAGAAGGCAGAGCCCCAUUGUGGGGCCCAUGGGAAGGAGGCACGCCUGGCUGGUGACCUUUCAGCGGUGCCAGGGUUUCCACCGGAGCCCGCGCCACAGCACUGGGGGUGGGACACCGUGGGUGGCAGGGGGCGCGCAUCGCAGCCCCUGCUUCACCACGCACGGUGCUUUGUGCCCGGGAUUCUGUCUGGUCCCACAAGAGCCUGGUGACAAAGUGGCGAUGGUUAUCUCACUGGGCAGUCGAGAUCAGACUCAGAGAGGUCAGCAGAUUGCCUCAAAGCCACGGUUGGUGGCAGAACUGGGCCCGGAGUCUGGGUGCCCCAGCUUCAGUCCCCUCUGUGCCCCCGUGUUUCCCAGGCUGGCUCUGGAGGCGCCUCCUCUGACUGUUCUGCCUGUUCUCAUCAGCCAAGCCUGUGCCUUUUCUGCUCCCAGUCCCUUUACGUCACUGCACUGUCUCCUGCCCAGUUUCCCUUUUGGGAUGCUUCCUCCUGGUUCUGUGGGCUCUCCGUUGUUCAGUUGUGUGCCCUUGUAGCUCCUUGCUGCCUGACCAGCAUAAAUGCCCUAUCUUGAUUGCCAGAGUUCUUGGCAUUGCGGGGCCUCUGAAGCAAGCCCACAAGUGAAAUCUCUUUGGGGUUGCCUUUCUGUUCUUACCCAGGUCUAGCUGGCCCGCUCGGGUUCUUGCUCUGGAACCUCCACACCAAAGGCUGUGGUCCACGUGUCGUCUCCUUGCUUGUGGCCAGUUGCUAAGUUCUUUCUCCUGUUGCAGCUGAGACCUCAGACCGGCUAGCCUUUUCCUCUGAGCUGGGGAGCUGUGAGCAGGUCUGAGAGGGCCAGAGUGAGGAGGCAGUCUCACCGGGUCCUCUCUAGGCUAUGGAGGGCACCCUGGCUUAUCCUGAGGUUCCUAACCUGCCUUCAGCCAGGAAGGGAAAUUAUGUGCUGCCCUCUGGCUUUUGUGGAGUUCUUUUACAUCUGAGGCGUCCCUCGGAAAUAGCUCAGAUCUUGGAGGCGCUCUAGAAAGGGGCCCAAAGGAGACCCGGCAUGUCCAUCGUGCCCUCUCGUAAGAGCAGGUGUGGGGCUAGCCUGUCUCUACGAGCUCCAACCAGCCUGGAGUAACUAGAAGGCUGAACCCUCUGGCCCUUUGCAAUGUCUGGACUUGACAUUGUGGGACAUGAGGUCGAGGUGCCUUUUGCGAUGUCACCGGGGCUAUGUAGCAUAGUGGUAGUGGAUGUGGGCUUUGACGGCACACAGGUUGGGUGUGAGUUGUGGUUCAGUCACAUACCGGUGUCAGGUUGAGCAAGUUACUUAAGCUCUGGCUCCCUUUAAAGACAACAGAGGUAACAGCCCCUGCUGGAUCACUCUCCAUCAAUGAGCUGUGCGUCAGGUGCUUCGCUUGGAGCCCAGGGGACGGAGACGGUAUCUCAGGAAAAGGAAGGUGUUAUUACUACGUCCCAGAAGUAACCAAUGACCUUUGAAGGUGGCAGGUGAAUGUCUCUGACCAUUAACUUAUCUACAAAAUAUGUAUCGAGCAUUAUGCGUCCAGCACAGUACUGUUGCCACACCUGGUCUCAUUUAAUAGUCACAGUGGCUUUGCAGGCUGGUGGUCCUGUUUGCCUUGCUGAAGAAACGAGCCGCCUCGGGGAGGGUAGGCGUCCCUCCAGAUCUCACCAGUAGAGGGCGGUGGUUCUUGUGUUAAAGUGCCUGCUUUGCCCUAACGCGGGGCCUGUGGCCAGUUUGCACAGACUGCUCCAGCCAGGACACUGUGGGCAGCUUUUGGAUGAUCCUGCCAUUCGGGAUCUUCCAGACUCCUGCAUUUCCCUUCUGCCACCUCACCCUUUGGUUUUCCCUGCUUGUUUUGCCUCCUGCACGGUGGGAGAAAGAAGAAAUCCAUGUUAAAGCCACUGAAAGCUGUUACCAGGCAACAGUGCUAGUUUGCAAGCACCGUGGUGGGCGAGAGAGUGGGGAAUUAGGGUUCAGACCCUGCGGCUGGCAGGCUGGCAGUCCCGUCUUGUUCCUGCAACAACCCCCCCCCGCCCCCCCACUGCUGGGGGAAGGAGAGGGAGAGGUCGUUGCAUUCUUGCAGUGAAAGGAAUCAUUCAGGCGACUCUCGCAGCGCUGCGUACUCCCUGGAGGUGAGGUGGUGCCUCCAGCUGCAUGUGAGGCUCCCUCUGUGGGUGCUGUGUUGGGCGCUGUGCCGCUCCCCAGGCCCAGACAGCUGUCUCCCGGGCCCCGGAGCCUGCCGUGUGACUCCCUGCCGCCCGUGUCCCUACCUGGGAGGUUCCCCUUCUGCCGACCGUGCUCAUGGGCAACUCUGGCUGCCAGAGUUGUGCGUGGCCAUGCCUCUGGCCGCUGCUGCCCAGGCCCAGCUGGAGGUUCCGUGGGAAAGUGGGACACCAUCCCCCGUGGGGCAUUUCCACUGGGUUGACGAUCUCAGUGCUCCUUCAUUCUGUGUGGGGACUUCCGGGGGGGGGGUAUCCCCCGACUGCCCCCUCCCUCCUACCCUAAUCAGGGUACGCUCAGGGAGCAGGAAGUAAAAUCAUGAAGUGCAUCUAAAUAAAUUCCUUUUGGACACUUGCAUUGGAGAAGAUGAUUAAGUGGGGCAUAUCUUGAAAAAAGGGGUGGGAGGUACUGGUUUAGCUGCUGCUGCUUUUGACAGCUCCAGGAGAGUGACAAGUGUGGCGGUGUGACGGUCGGGGCAGUGAAUUAGGCAACUGAGCUCAGCCCAUGGCUGUGCGUUCCCUUUUCUGUGGGGCAGCCCGCACCAGGCCCGCCUUACCUUCUCUUCCUUCAGACGUCUGACUGGAGUCAGCUGCAGGAUUACAAACUAGUUAAAAAUUCACAACCCACCCUUGACCCUCAUUUUUAGCAAAUAAAUGAAAAAAAAAAACCCCAUGUUUGCUCAAUUUUUGGCAUAGUUUUUUAUUUUAAAAUUUAAAAUUUUUUAGGAUGUUUUAAGGGAUAGUUUUUUGCAGAUAGCAGUUUUUAAAAAGCUAACAGACCCACAACUGAAGUUAAAUACAGAUUCAUAUCUGAAACUCUUGAUAAGAUAUAAAAAAAGAAUUUAGAUUUAGAAUUUUAUUUUGUUUUUUUUGGAAAUUCUUAUUUAAAAAGUUAGUUGGGAGGUUAAAUCAUGUGACUUUAAAGUACCUUCUCAUUCAUAGUUUAUGAAUUUUAUGAAAUUCUGAGAUCUUGAGCAUUUUCAGUCAAGUAAAGAGAAAACUGUUGUGCACUUUAUUUGAUCCCAGUUCCCUCAAAGAUAGGCUGCUUAGUUCCACUUUGGGCUAUUUCCAGGUCUACCCCAAAGGCGUAGGUGACACUCCCAGGUCCCUGGUACACUUAAGCUUUGUUGUGGGGUGCUCAGGUUUCUGUUGAGCAGAAAGGCCUCGCGAAGCUUGGGCCGAGAUCUCGCACUAGAGUUGGUGAGCAUAGCCCCGUGAGGCAACCCUUGGCUAAUGUACAUUGACCACAUAAAAUUCCAUUCUCUCGAGCAGGAGCCCAUAGGCUAAUAAUGGGCUUAGAAAUGCACAAAAUUUUUCUCUGGGUGGAAUGAGCUGAGAGCAGAGAAGAUUGAGUUCACUAGGCAGGUGCUAUAUCGUCCUCUCGUGGACCAGACUUGGCUAUUUGAAAUGAAAAAUCCAUCCACAGCAUUGUAGUAAACAGCUAAUGCUGAGGUACGUGUUUACAACGUGUGUUGUAAACAUGUGUUUACUACAUGUGAUAAAUAGUACGAAAAAACCCCAUACAUCACAGACAAACAUUCCCUGAUAUAAGUGGGCUGCCUGGGCCUUGUGAAGUAUCCUUUACGACCAAAUGAAGACUGGUAUCUAGGCAGAAUAUUGUUCUCUGUUGAACUUCCAUACUGCCGGUAAUGAGCCUUAUUCUAAGUACAAGCAAACCUUGUAUUUGUAAAAUAUCCUAAAGGAGAAGCAUGGUUUACAUUCAAUUUUGCAGUCUUUCUGCUACGAGAAGUGUUUAUUUUGCUUUUUUCAAUCUGUUUACUUGAUGUAGCCGUUUUGAACAAGGAAAGGAAAAAUUUAAAAUCCUCUCAACUCUGUUCUUUUGCUGCUUUUGUAAAUUCUGAUUGUGAAGUUGGGGAUAAAGAUGUUCAAAAGCCCAUGGAGAAUUUACAUGCCUUCAGAACAUUGUGCCUGUUCUAAUAUGAUGAGCUUUUAAAAAAUACUUUGUUAAAACAUGAAUCAGUUUUUGUAGUUGUACAGAGAUAUUCAACUAAUUUUGAGUGCUGGUGAUUGCAUAACUGAAUUUUGUAUAUCCAAAAAUAUAUUCUUGUGUGCUACUUUUCCUACCUUGAGAUUCUAUUUAAUACAACAAAUGUUUUCUUUUUACUGAUGCAUUUCAAAGAGAAAGAAUUUUGCUGGUAAUUAAGCUGUUUUUUUCCCCCAAGACAUCAUAAAACUGUUCUUAAUUUUUCUUGUUUUGCUUUUUGUUUCCUUCUCAAUAAAUGAUAGCAUUAUGAUCUUUAAUAAA